CCUACGGGAGGCAGCAGUAGGGAAUCUUCCACAAUGGACGAAAGUCUGAUGGAGCAACGCCGCGUGUGUGAUGAAGGGUUUCGGCUCGUAAAACACUGUUGUAAGAGAAGAAUGACAUUGAGAGUAACUGUUCAGUGUGUGACGGUAUCUUACCAGAAAGGAACGGCUAAAUACGUGCCAGCAGCCGCGGUAAUACGUAUGUUCCAAGCGUUAUCCGGAUUUAUUGGGCGUAAAGCGAGCGCAGACGGUUAUUUAAGUCCGAAGUGAAAGCCCACAGCUUAACUGUGGAAGUGCUUUGGAAACUGGAUAACUUGAGUGCAGUAGAGGAGAGUGGAACUCCAUGUGUAGCGGUGAAAUGCGUAGAUAUAUGGAAGAACACCAGUGGCGAAGGCGGCUCUCUGGACUGUAACUGACGUUGAGGCUC
rnacentral:rRNA from 1 species